rnacentral:rRNA from 1 species
AUUGAACGCUGGCGGCAUGCCUUACACAUGCAAGUCGAACGGCAGCACGGGUGCUUGCACCUGGUGGCGAGUGGCGAACGGGUGAGUAAUACAUCGGAACAUGUCCUGUAGUGGGGGAUAGCCCGGCGAAAGCCGGAUUAAUACCGCAUACGAUCUACGGAUGAAAGCGUGGGGCCUUCGGGCCUCGCGCUAUAGGGUUGGCCGAUGGCUGAUUAGCUAGUUGGUGGGGUAAAGGCCUACCAAGGCGACGAUCAGUAGAUGGUCUGAGAGGACGACCAGCCACACUGGGACUGAGACACGGCCCAGACUCCUACGGGAGGCAGCAGUGGGGAAUUUUGGACAAUGGGCGAAAGCCUGAUCCAGCAAUGCCGCGUGUGUGAAGAAGGCCUUCGGGUUGUAAAGCACUUUUGUCCGGAAAGAAAUCCUUGGCUCUAAUACAGUCGGGGGAUGACGGUACCGGAAGAAUAAGCACCGGCUAACUACGUG